CUCCUGUGCAAGUAGAGGUGCAGGUACACGACUAAAGAAACUUAGGGAAGCCAUCAGUAUAUGAGGAUGAGGAGUAAUGAUCUGUAUUUAUGGCUAGUCUACUUUCUAGAAGACGUCUGAUGUAAUGAAGAACCCAUUAAAUAUGUCCAAGUAUCAAGAAAAUUUCAAGUGAAGCUAGGUGCAUAGAGAUGGAUAUAGAAGCUCUUCUUUAAAUACAACCCAACUGCAAAACCUAAUAGUGCCGGAUGACCCUGAUAACUUCCUUGACUGCUGCAAAUGGUCCGAUGUCUACUGCAAUAACUCCAC